AUGGGCUCACUAAAGGACAGAAAUGGUAGGGACCUAACAGAAGCAGAAGAUAUUAAGAAGAGAUGGCAAGAAUACACAGAAGAACUGUACAAAAAAGAGCUUCGCAACCCAGAUAAUCACAAUCGUGUGAUCACUCAGCUGGAGCCAGACAUCCUGGAAUGUGAAGUCAAGUGGGCCUUAGAAAGCAUCACUACCAACAAAGCUAAUGGAGGUAAUGGAAUUCCAGUUGAGCUAUUUCAAAUCCUGAAAGAUGAUGCUUUGAAAGUGCUGCACUCAAUAUGCCAGCAAAUGUGGAAAACUCAGCAGUGGCCACAGAACUGCAAAAAGUCAUUUUUCAUUCCAAUCCCACAGAAAGGCAAUGCCAAAGAAUGCUCAAACUACCACACAAUUGCACUCAUCUCACAUGCUAGUAAAGUAAUGCUCAAAAUUCUCCAAGCCAGGCUUCAGCAAUACAUAAACUGUGAACUUCGACAUGUUCAAGCUAGUUUUAGAAAAGGCAGAGGAACCAGAGAUCAAAUUGCCAACAUCUGCUGGAUCAUGGAAAAAGCAAGCGAGUUCCAGAAAAACAUCCAUUUCUGCUUUAUUGACUAUGCCAAAGCCUUUGACUGUGUGGAUCACAAUAAAUUGUGGAAAAUACUGAAAGAGAUGGGAAUACCAGACCACCUGACCUGCCUCUUGAGAAACCUAUAUGCAGGUCAGAAAGCAACAGUUAGAACUGGACAUGGAACAACAGACUGGUUCCAAAUAGGAAAAGGAGUACAUCAAGGCUGUAUAUUGUCACCCUGCUUAUUUAACUUAUAUGCAGAGUACAUCAUGCAAAAUGCUGGGCUGGAUGAAACACAAGCUGGAAUCAAGAUUGCUGGGAGAAGUAUUAAUAACCUCAGAUAUGCAGAUGACACCACCCUUUUGGCAGAAAGUGAAGAGGAACUCAAAAGCCUCUUGCUGAAAGUGAAAGAGGAGAGUGAAAAAGUUGGCUUAAAGCUCAACAUUCAGAAAACGAAGAUCAUGGCAUCCGGUCCCAUCACUUCAUGGGAAAUAGAUGGGGAAACAGUGGAAACAGUGUCAGACUUUAUCUUUUGGGGCUCCAGAAUCACUGCAGAUGGUGACUGCAGCCAUGAAAUUAAAAGACGUUUACUCCUUGGAAGAAAAGUUAUGACCAAUCUAGCUAGCAUAUUGAAAAGCAGAGACAUUACUUUGCCAACAACAAUCCAUCUAGUCAAGGCUAUGGUUUUUCCAGUGGUCAUGUAUGGAUGUGAGAGUUGGACUGUGAAGAAAGCUGAGCACUGA
rnacentral:lncRNA from 1 species